GUGGGGAAUAUUGGGCAAUGGGGGCAACCCUGACCCAGCGACGCCGCGUGAGGGAAGAAGGCCUUAGGGUCGUAAACCUCUGUUGUGUGGGAAGAAGGAAGUGACGGUACCACACGAGGAAGUCCCGGCUAACUACGUGCCAGCAGCCGCGGUAAUACGUAGGGGACGAGCGUUGUCCGGAUUUACUGGGCGUAAAGGGCGCGUAGGCGGUCAUUUAAGUCAGCUGUGAAAUGGUUUGGCUUAACCGGAUCAUGCGGUUGAAACUGGAUGACUGGAGUGCUGGAGAGGCAAGGUGAAUUCCCAGUGUAGCGGUGAAAUUCGUAGAUUAUGGGAAGAACACCGGUGGGGAAGGCGACUUGCUGGCCAGUAACUGACGCUGAGGCGCGAAAGCCAGGGGAGCAAACGGGAUUAGAUACCCGGGUAGUCC
rnacentral:rRNA from 1 species